CAGCAGUGGGGAAUAUUGCACAAUGGGCGCAAGCUGAUGCAGCAACGCCGCGUGAGGGAUGAAGGCCUUCGGGUUGUAAACCUCUCUUAGCAGGGAAGAAGCGAAAGUGACGGUACCUGCAGAAAAAGCACCGGCUAACUACGUGCCAGCAGCCGCGGUAAUACGUAGGGUGCAAGCGUUGUCCGGAAUUAUUGGGCGUAAAGAGCUCGUAGGCGGUUUGUCGCGUCUGCUGUGAAAACUGGAAGCUCAACUUCCAGCCUGCAGUGGGUACGGGCAGACUAGAGUGCGGUAGGGGAGAACGGAAUUCCUGGUGUAGCGGUGGAAUGCGCAGAUAUCAGGAGGAACACCGAUGGCGAAGGCAGUUCUCUGGGCCGUUACUGACGCUGAGGAGCGAAAGCGUGGGGAGCGAACAGGAUUAGAUACCCUGGUAGUCCACGCCGUAAACGGUGGGUGCUAGCUGUGGGCCACAUUCCACGUGGUCCGUGACGAAGCAAUCACAGUAAG
rnacentral:rRNA from 1 species